rnacentral:misc_RNA from 1 species
CCGAGUGAGGGCCUCCGGGCCCGACCUCCCACCCUUUGAUUUAACCCACUUUUGUUGCCUCGGGGGCGACCCGGUCGCGUCGGGGCCCCCGACGGACCCCCUUCUCACGCUGCAUCUUUGCGUCGGGUUGAUCAGAAAAUCAAUCA